rnacentral:rRNA from 3 species
GCGACCCCAGGUCAGACGGGACUACCCGCUGAG